ensembl:lncRNA
GGGUGUCUCCGCACAGGCUGGUCUUUCACAAAGGCGCCCUCAAGACUCCUGAAAUCCCAGCCACAGAGGAGGAAGACUCUGGAACCACCUCCACUUUAACGGGCAUGGUGACGGAGGUUCCGCGAGGCGAAGGGACUUGCCCACGUUGCGCAGCAGGCAGUUGCUGGGGGCCUGCCACAUGCCAGACACUGUGUGAGGCACCCAGGAUGGGAAAGCAAGGUGAUACCAAGAGACACCAGCGUGAUGAGCAGUGGGAGCGGGGCGCCCGGGGCCUGUGGGAGCCAGAGGAGGGACACCUGGUGAGCAGGUGGGAGUGAGAGAGAAGCAAGCGAUAGUUGAUCUGAGCCCUUCAGGAAAAGAUGGUUUGCCAAGUAACAAGGGGGAGGAAUGGCCUUCUAGGCUGAAGGAACAGCCUAGAGGCCAGGAAAAAAACACGCCAUCCACCGCAGGGCCCAAGACAAGGAGCGGGGUAUUAUAUCCGGAUGAACCAAACGCUCCCCAAAACCCGCUGAGCUGUGCGGGUAGCAAGCCCCCUCUGGCGGGACGGCUGCCUCCGUGGGGAAGACGCAGCCAAGCCAAAGAAGUUCUCCUGUCAUAAAGAAACCACUGCUCACCCCAACCGCCAAGGACCAGAGUCGACGGCACUUAAGGAGAGACUCUGUCUUGGAGGCUGGCUUGGGUUUGACCUUUGUGCUGCUGUUCCUAUGAAUUCACCCACCAGCGGGUAGCUGAACCUGGAACGGAGGCCAGGUGUCCUGUCGCAUCCUGAGAGUUCCCAGAAGGAAAGCCGGAGCGCCGGGGAAGGCAGAUCCUGGCAGAUGUCCACCUGUUUCAUCUUGACGCGCUCAAGGCAGAAGAAGAAUUCUAAUUGCUGCCAGGCCGGAGAGGCGAGGCGCCGCGCACUUUGAAGUCGGUGUGGCGGCAGCCCCAGGGUUGGCGAGUUUCUUUCAGCUGGCUUUGUGCUCACUUGGAUCUUCCUCUGAAGGUCAUUAUCACCAAGGUCACUGGCAGCACUGCAUCUCUGGGAGACCAGGGGUGUUUGCUGGUUGUCGGAUGAUAUUUCUUCCGGGGUCCUAGGGGAGCCUUGAUUGUGCAAAUGCCAGGAAGUCUGAAAUGCCAGCAGUGCCGGACUCACUGACAUCAUCUACGCCCGGCAGCCCCCUCCACCGCGGGUGCUCUCCCCUCUUUUGCUGGGAGCCAUCUCCCCCACCUCCACGCCCUGGGAGAAGAUGGAAGUGGAUCUGAAGGGGGCGUGAGUCUCUAGUCAGUGUCCUCUGGAGUCACCGGGCAACCCCAACUUCACACUCAUGGGCCUGAGGCAUCACCUCUGGCUGCAAGCAGCUUACAGCCACAAGCUCGAGAUGGCACCACCACCAGCCAGUCGUCCAAGUCAAAACUAUGGAGACCAUCUUUGACUCCUGCCUGUCCUCAGGUCCCCUGGUCAUCAAGUCCUGGAGCUAUUCCCCUCCCAAACCUCUCUGUCCAUCUCCACCAGCCCUCACUGGCACCCUGGUCAAAGCCACCAUCAUGUCAAGGCUGGGCAGCCUAUUAGCCACCCAGCAGCCUGCCCAACAGCUUACAGUCUUAUCCUGCUGGGAUCUGUGUGCAAUUCUACAACCAGAGUGAUUGUUCUAGAAUUAGAAUACCAUCUCCCUGCUUAAAACCCGUCCGGUCAGCCAGUCAGUCAGUUGUUCACUUUUUCAAUAAAUAAUGUUUGGCCUACCAUGCACCAAACAUUUACUGUAUCAUUAGGAAAACAUCAAGACAGACAAAGCCCCUGUGCUCACGGCAGUUACCAUCUAGUGCACGUGCAUCAAGAAAUAUCCAACUGCACACGUGAUAAAUGUCAGGGAGUGCUAAGUGCCUGGAAGAAAAAUAAAGCAGAGAAGGAGAUAGAGGGUGACAGAGAGAUGGCCACUCUUUGUAGGGUGCCAGGGAAGGCCUCUCUGAGGGAUGAGAGAACAGAGAGCCCAGAAACAGACCCCCACCUAGACAGAGAUGAGCUGGAUACUAAGGGGUGGACGAUGGCCUUUCUAAUAAAUGGUUUUGGGAAAAUUGAAUAUCUAUAUAGAAAAAAUUUAUCUCCUACCAUCCCCCC